GCCGGGUCCUUGGGGGUGCCGCCAUCCUUCGCUCGGUCUCCGGGCUCUGGAGUUUCCCUCUCCCUCUCGAGGCCCCUCACCUCCUCCCUCUCCUCCUUCGGCUCCUCGUCGUUCUCCUCUUGGGAGCGCUGGUCUUGCUUGAUCCAGUCGGUGUCGUUCCUCAGGGGGGCCAGCACCUUGCCGGACCCCCGGCGGCUCCCUGACUCCCUUCUGAUCGGGGCGAGGGUCUUUAGUCUGUCCAAACUCCGGAUCCCGUUCUCCAUGAUGUCCUUGAGCUCCUUGUCUCUCCUCUCCAGCUCCUCAUCCUCUGGUCUGAUCGCCUCCUGCUGUUUCUCCUCCUCCUCUCUUUCCUUGUCUUUCACUCCAUCUUUGACGGCGUUGUCGGCUGGGUGAGGGUCGCCCUCGGCAACUGUUGUCUCAACUGAUGCAAUGCGAUUGCCCCUGGCAACCGUCUCUUCAGCUGAGGCGGUCUGAUGGUUGCCACAGGUAAUCAUUGUCUCCUCAGCUGAGGCGGUGUGAUGGUCGCCCACGGCAACCGCUGUCUCCCCAGCCGAGGCGGUGUGAUGAUCGCCCCCGGCAACCGUCUCCGCAGCCGAGGCAGUGUGAUGGUCGCCCCCGGCAACCGUCGCCUCAGCUGAGGCAGUGUGAUGGUCACCCCCGGCUACCGUCGGCUCAGCCGAGGCGGUGUAAUGUUCGCCCCCGGCAACCGUCGGCUCAGCCGAGGCGGUGUGAUGGUCGCCCCCGGCAACCGUCUCCGCAGCCGAGGCGGUGUGAUGGUCGCCCCCGGCAAUCGUCACCUCAGUUGAGUCGGUGUGAUGGUCGCCCCAGCAACCGUCUCCUCAGCCGAGGCUGUGAUCUCUUCCGGCUUCGACUGAUCGAGCUCUGGAGGGCUUCCCUCCUCCUCUGUGGUCUCGAUCUCGUCGUCAACCGUCUCUUCUGCUGAGGCAGUCUGAUGGUUGCCCCUGGUAAUCGUUGUCUCCUCAGCCGAGGCGGUGUGAUGGUCGCCCCCGGCAACCGUUGUCUCCUCAGUCGAGGCGGUAUGAUGGUCGCCCCCGGCAACUGUCUCUGCAGCCGAGGCGGUAUGAUGGUCGCCCCCGGCAACCGUCACCUCAGUUGAGGCGGUGUGAUGGUCGCCCCCAGCAACCGUUUCCUCAGCCGAGGCUGUGAUCUCUUCCGGCUUUGACUGAUCGAGCUCUGGAGGGCUUCCCGCCUCCUCUGUGGUCUCGAUCUCGUCGUCAACCGUCUCUUCAGCUGAGGCGGUCUGAUGGUUGCCCCCGGCAACCGUUGUCUCCUCAGCCGAGGCGGUGUGAUGGUCGCCCCCGGCAACCGUCUCCGCAGAUGAGGCGGUGUGAUGGUCGCCCCCGGCAACCGUCGCCUCAGCCGAGGCGGUAUGAUGGUCGCCCCCGGCAACCGUCACCUCAGUUGAGGCGGUGUGAUGGUCGCCCCCAGCAACCGUUUCCUCAGCCGAGGCUGUGAUCUCUUCCGGCUUUGACUGAUCGAGCUCUGGAGGGCUUCCCGCCUCCUCUGUGGUCUCGAUCUCGUCGUCAACCGUCUCUUCAGCUGAGGCGGUCUGAUGGUUGCCCCCGGCAACCGUUGUCUCCUCAGCCGAGGCGGUGUGAUGGUCGCCCCCGGCAACCGUCUCCGCAGAUGAGGCGGUGUGAUGGUCGCCCCCGGCAACCGUCGCCUCAGCUGAGGCGGUGUGAUGGUCGCCCCUGGCAACCGUCGGCUCAGCCGAGGCGGUGUGAUGGUCGCCCCUGGCAACUGUCUCCUCAGCCGAGGAGGUAUGAUGGUCACCCCCGGCAACACUCACCUCAAUUGAGGCGGUGUGAUGGUCGGUCCCAGCAACCAUCUCCUCAGCCGAGGCUGUGAUCUCUUCCGGCUUCGACUGAUCGAGCUCUGGAGGGCUUCCCGCCUCCUCUGUGGUCUCGAUCUCGUCGUCAAGGACCGUCACCGGCUCUGUCUCCUUCUCCAGCUCUCCUCCGUCCAUCUCCCCCUCUGCAUACCGGACCCCCAGUCUGU
ensembl:lncRNA